rnacentral:rRNA from 1 species
CCUACGGGAGGCAGCAGUGGGGAAUAUUGGACAAUGGGCGAAAGCCUGAUCCAGCAAUGCCGCGUGAGUGAUGAAGGCCUUAGGGUUGUAAAGCUCUUUUACCCGGGAUGAUAAUGACAGUACCGGGAGAAUAAGCUCCGGCUAACUCCGUGCCAGCAGCCGCGGUAAUACGGAGGGAGCUAGCGUUGUUCGGAAUUACUGGGCGUAAAGCGCACGUAGGCGGCUUUGUAAGUUAGAGGUGAAAGCCUGGAGCUCAACUCCAGAAUUGCCUUUAAGACUGCAUCGCUUGAAUCCAGGAGAGGUGAGUGGAAUUCCGAGUGUAGAGGUGAAAUUCGUAGAUAUUCGGAAGAACACCAGUGGCGAAGGCGGCUCACUGGACUGGUAUUGACGCUGAGGUGCGAAAGCGUGGGGAGCAAACAGGAUUAGAUACCCGUGGUAGUCCACGCCGUAAACGAUGAUAACUAGCUGUCAGGGCUCUUAAGAGUCUUUGGUGGCGCNGACUACGACAUUAAGUUAGUCCGUCCGUCGGGUAGGUACGGUCGGCGAAGAAGUUAAACGUUAAAGUUAGUUAAGUUAGUACGGACGUUGAGACGUUGCCGACGGACGACGACGAGGGAGGAGG